CAAAAAGCAAACGUAAGCAAUGCUUACUCUCAAAACCACUAAAAACAUUGCUUCACCACGAUUCAAUCCGUAAGCAAACGUAGGAGGCUGUGCGUAUUUAAGUAAUAAUUAAUAACCGGUGGAAGAUGACAGACGGGACGUAGUCCAGGUACCUGUUUUAGUGCCUCUAUCGCAAUCCAUCACGCACAGUUCAGAGGAUGCACUAUAAGUACACAUAUAAAUCCUGUCUGAUUGCAGCCCUCCAGCACCAGAGCUGGAUAACACUGGUGUGCAUCUCUAUCACAGGACUUCAGGCCAGCAGUGAAGAUAGAAAUCAGAAUGACAAAUUGGGACGGACUGAAGAAGACCAGUGAUGCACCUUUCUUGUUUCAUUCAGCAACAACAAGAAACACUUUGAUGAAUGUUUCCUGUUCUUGGUCUGCCAAUAUGAUGGGGCUUGGCCUGCUUCU